rnacentral:rRNA from 1 species
GUAGGUGGCAAGCGUUGUCCGGAAUUAUUGGGCGUAAAGCGCGCGCAGGUGGUUCUUUAAGUCUGAUGUGAAAGCCCCCGGCUCAACCGGGGAGGGUCAUUGGAAACUGGGGAACUUGAGUGCAGGAGAGGAAAGUGGAAUUCCACGUGUAGCGGUGAAAUGCGUAGAUAUGUGGAGGAAUACCAGUGGCGAAGGCGACUUUCUGGCCUGUAACUGACACUGAGGCGCGAAAGCGUGGGGAGCAAACAGGGAUUAGAUACCCUGGUAGUCCACGCCGUAAACGAUGAGUGCUAAGUGUUGGGGGGGUUUCCCGCCCCUCAGUGCUGCAGCUAACGCAUUAAGCACUCCGCCUGGGGAGUACGGUCGCAAGACUG